rnacentral:rRNA from 1 species
AUACGUAGGUGACAAGCGUUAUCCGGAUUUACUGGGCGUAAAGGGCGUGUAGGCGGUCUUGCAAGUCAGAAGUGAAAUUCCUGAGCUCAACUCGGGCGCUGCUUCUGAAACUGCAGGACUUGAGUGCUGGAGGGGAUAGCGGAAUUCCUAGUGGAGCGGUAAAAUGCGCAGAUAUUAGGAAGAACACCGGUGGCGAAGGCGGCUAUCUGUACAGUAACUGACGCUGAGGCGCGAAAGCGUGGGGAGCAAACAGGAUUAGAUCCCCUGUUAGUCCACGCCGUAAACGAUGAAUACUAGGUGUAGGGGGUAUCGACUCCCUCUGUGCCGCAGUUAACACAAUAAGUAUUCCGCCUGGGGAGUACGGCCGCAAGGUUGAAACUCAAAGGAAUUGACGGGG